UCCCGGGGAAGCCCGCGGAAGGCGAGGUGCCUGGCCUGCCAUGUGGUCUCCUAGCAGGAGGAGCGAGAGAGCCCAGCAGCGAUACGGUGGUUUUCGACCCAGCUAGGGGCCAGGCCGUACGAUUGGGAGCCCGGGGCAGCCCCCCGCGCAGUCACCACGACGCGGCACCCGUGGACGGGCGUUGGCUCUGCGUGGUGGGCGGCUGGGACGGGUCUCGCCGCUUGGCCACAGUGACCGCACUGGACACAGAGCGCGGUGUGUGGGAGGCGUGGACAGGGACCCCUGGUGACUGCCCCCCCGCCGGCCUCAGUAGUCACACCUGCACCCGAAUCUCUGACCGAGAGCUGCAGGUGGCUGGCCGGGAGGGCGGUAUCCACACUCAGCGACGCUAUGGAAGCAUCUACACAUUAAGGCUGGACCCCAGCGCCCGCACCUAUUGCUACAAGCAAGAAGGCUGCCACACAGCCUCACGCUCAGGUCACUGUGCGGCCCUGCUCCAAACUCCUGGACCCCAUCCAGGUCAUCAGCUAUUGCUCUUUGGAGGUUGCAACUUAGCUGAACCAGAAGUAGCUGGGCAUUGGAGUCAUGGGAAAAUUAAGGAGGAACCACCUGUUGCUCCUCAUUUGAUGGAACAGCUUGCAAGGCUUGUGAGCAGUGGGCAGGGGUCCCAGAAGGGGCCCCAUGGACUACGGCAUCACUCAUGUUCUGUGGUCGGGCCCUUUGCUGUGCUGUUUGGU
rnacentral:lncRNA from 1 species